rnacentral:lncRNA from 1 species
GCAAUUAUUACUCAAAAGAUCAAUAUAUAUAUUAGGAACAGAUCUUAGAAAUGUAUAUAUUAUAUAUUUUUUUGAGAGAUAGGUAGCACGCUACCCGCUUCGUUUAUUUCAUUUAGAAAUAAACUUAGCUAGAAAUGUGAAUCAAUUAGGAUUCGAACUUGGGUCUCGGGUAUCAAUCACCAAACCCUUUGCCACUUGCUCUAGAGACGGUCGGUAUGUAUAUAUUAUAUUAACACCUCUAUUCACGUACAUGAUGGAUACGAAAAGAUCGAAAGAAUUUAGAAUUAGUUUUAAUAUCAUAUUAUCUGAAAGAUCGAUUUAUUAGAAAAUAGUCCAAAAAUCUAUAUAUUACAGUAGUAAGAGUUGGUACAGCAAUAUAAAAUGAUCAAUCCUAAGUGAGAAAUGAGGAAUAUAUCACUUGCGGUCGAGUCGAGCAUUUAUUUGAAGCUUCGCCUGCUUCAAGUUGAGCAUUUCCAUCAUCUUCCUGAUUGAGCUUUUUUAACCGAUGUAUAAUCUUCGGUAUGCAUUAUGCACUACCUCAGUAUAAGAUUAUCACAUGUUUAUUAAUUAUCUUUGAAUCUUCCAUAAGAAAUAACACAUUUUAGCUAGCUUAUGCACUUCAUAUAUAUAUAUAUAUAUAUAGAGUUGAGCUAGAAUACUCUCGAUAGUAAACGAGGCGUUUUACUAUCGAGUUGUUUUCGAUGAUAAAGCUUCCAAAUUGACGAUCGGCUCCGUUGAACAUGAUCUAUACCACUUGAAGUGUUUAGAAAUCAAAUUUCAAAUCUUUUCGACAUCAUUUGCCUAAUGAUCAAAGGGUUUCAAAAUUUGUAAUUUUAAUGGUGGAUAAGAGACGUUUUCUCGUUUAACGGUGUAAAGAUAUCCAAAUCAAUUGAAUUUUUGUUAGAAAAUUUUUAAACUAUUUAAAACAAGAUCUAUACUCUUGAUCUUGAUUACAAGACUCCUAUCAUCACUUUUUAAAGAAUAUUCAUUUUCAGCCAUUCAUUUUUUGUUCACUAGAUGGAUAAAAGAACAAUAUCGAAAGUGCGUGAAAUUUGAUUUGUAGAUAGUUUAAAUGGUUUAGAUCAUAUUUAACGGAGUCGAUCGUCAAUUUGAAAGCUCUAUCAUCGAAAACAACUCGAUAGCAAAACGCCCCGUUUACUAUCGAGAGUAUUCUAGCUCAACUAUAUAUAUAUAUAUAUAUAUAUAUACAUAUAUAUAUAUACAUAUAUACAUACAUAUAUAUACAUAUAUACAUACAUAUAUAUGAGUCCGGCUACUAUGCUAUUAAUAGCACGAAGCACUUGGUGCUACCAAGUUUUCUGCAGUUAGAUCUAUCAUUUUGAUCAUUUUCAUCCGUUAGAUCAUACUAUUCAACCAACCACCCACUCAAUCCUAAGGGGCCCACAUCAUCCUAACCGCACAUCUCUUAAUCCAAUGGCCAAAAACUUGAUAGCACUAAUGACUUCGUGCUAUUAAUAGCAUAGUAGCCUAGUUCAUAUAUAU